UACUCAGAGUAACUCUUAUUUAUCAUGUAAUUACUAGGUUAACUUCCUUUCAUUUAUGCAUGUUAGAAUGGUAGCAUAAAGACGAAAAAACCAUAAUAGUUGAUUAUUAUUACAAUAAUGCCAUUAUAUUAAUUUUGGUAAACAAUUUAAAACACCUAUUAAAACCACGAUAAAAACUGUGUUUUUACAACAACAAAAAAAAGCAAACUUUAAGGUUCAUGGGAUUCACCGGCGAUUCUCGAUGAAUUGGGAGAAUCCGAGUUAGAAAGCGGUAAUUCCAGGAAAAAUGAAAACAGGACCAGGACCAGACAGAAAAAGCAAUCGUCUCCCCAUAAAAUCGUUUCUCGUUGCAGCUAAGAACCAGAGAGAUGCGGAGGACCAGUUCACUGUACGGUGAAUUGGACUUCUUAGGUUAGCACCCGAAAAAUCUUCGAAGAAUCUAAUACGUUCCUCGUCUCUCUCUCGGUCUCUCUUUCACUACGGGCGGUGGCUAGGGCGAUGGUGGUGAGUUUCAGCAGAAUAGCUUCAGGAUCAAGACAUCCGUUCGAGAUCUCAAUUGUAUACGUGUGUAGUGUUCUGUCUUUCCCAGAGUUGGAUUCUUUGUUUUCUGAUCUAUUAUGAUCAAUUGAAUCAGGAUUGAAGCGUGACCGAUCAGCGUGACUGUCUCACCACAAAACGACUCCUUUGUUGACGCCAUUGUAGACCGUUUAGAGGAUUCUAGAGAUAUUAUAGCUUCUAUCAUCUAUACCCACGCCUUGCAGUUUGAGAGUAAAGUUGACAAGGAGACUACUUUUUCUAGUUCAGUUUAUGGAUGUGAAGAAAGGCUUAUCCACCUGACAUUCCGGUUUAUAUGCACUUUGAUGCAUUUUCAACUCUGUUUUACGAAAAAAAUACAGAUGACGAGUUAUAUGUAACCCCUGGGUUUGGUUUUCGUUUAUUGUGUUCUUAUACAAUCGGGAACUUGGAAAGCUAUGUUGAAUGAUC